CUGCCCGGGGACGCAGCCCAGUUAGUAGCGUCGCUCCCUGAGCGCUUCUAAGGGGGCCGCCCGGCCUUGUCUUUCGGCAGUGGCCGAGCCACCGCCGCCUGCCGCGCGUUCCAGAGCUGGGCGCUGCAGCUGCACUGCCGAUCGCCGUGUUUGGUCGAUAGAAUCCCCAGUGUGCCCAGAGAGUGCGACCCCUCGCCCGGCCCGGCGAGCCCUGGGCGUGAACCGAGCUGAGGGAGGAUGGCAGCCUCUGGGGUGGAGAAGAGCAGCAAGAAGAAGACCGAGAAGAAACUUGCUGCUCGGGAAGAAGCUAAAUUGUUGGCGGGUUUCAUGGGCGUCAUGAAUAACAUGCGGAAACAGCUAACAUGCUUGAAUCAAAGUCCUUUGAAGUAGAACUCAAAGAUGCUGAACCUGAUAUUAUUGAACAACUGGUGGAAUUUGCUUAUACUGCUAGAAUUUCCGUGAAUAGCAACAAUGUUCAGUCUUUGUUGGAUGCAGCAAACCAAUAUCAGAUUGAACCUGUGAAGAAAAUGUGUGUUGAUUUUUUGAAAGAACAAGUUGAUGCUUCAAAUUGUCUUGGUAUAAGUGUGCUAGC
rnacentral:sRNA from 1 species